GGAGAAAGCGCUCGAGACAGUCAAUGUCGGUUGUGGUGAUGCAGUUAGGAAUAAGCUACAAUGGCCAAUCACCUUUGCAGCAGCAACACUAAAACGCGAGCGAAUAAACAUCUGCAGAAACAGCUGAAGCUAACUAGAUAAUUUACAAAUAUUAUAGCCGAACAUUAAGCGCAUUGGCAAAGUGAAAACAUGACAUCGGCAGCGCUGUGGUGCAACAAAACAUCACAGUUACAGCGAAGCAUCACGGAGGAGAAGAGACACCCAUCACAUGACACUAAGAAUACAGAUGAUUGGACAGGAAACAACAAAUGGGGAGCCUCGAAACAUAGAAAGGCACAACCCAACAAGGAGGAACUAAGGAAAACGCGAUGAAUAUUCAAACAAGGGGGGCGGCAAGGAGGAGACCCAGAGGAUGCAAAGUGUGAGGUCACGAACGCAAGAUGGCCGCCGAACGGAGAAAAAAACUGGGUCGUAAGCAAGGCUAAACCUGCAAAACUACAAUACUUCCGCCGAGGAAAAAAGAUGAAGGUCAUUAUAAGGUGAUUUUAUGACAGGUCAAGCCGCAUUCGCAUUCAGUCCAUGAUGAGAAGGAAAAUUCUGGCAUAAUGAGUCAGCAAAAAUACCAUGUAUGGAACUAGCCUUCUGCCAUCUAGAUGUAUGGUGUAUAAAGAAUUACAAUAGUGACACAUUGAAAGCAAGACCAUAAGGCUAGAAAAUUUUGAUUGCAACAGGAGUCACAUGACCAUAAAUCACUGUGUCGCAUUACAGAGGUCAUGCUGCAUUGCAGCUUAGGUAAGUAAAUGGUGUCGCAUUGCAACCCUCAAUUGGUCAUGACUGAUAUCUGACAGUCAAAAGAUACUUAACAAUACUAAUUAAAUAUUCAGUUUUAGGAUGCGUUCCCACA